rfam:Geoglobus ahangari strain 234, complete genome.
AGCGGGGUGGGGUAGCCAGGUAAUCCCGGCGGGCUCAUAACCCGCAGAUCCGUGGUUCAAAUCCACGCCCCGCUA